GACGUAGGAGGCGAGCGUUGUCCGGAUUCAUUGGGCGUAAAGAGCGCGCAGGCGGCUUGGUAAGUCGGAUGUGAAAUCCCGAGGCUCAACCUCGGGUCUGCAUCCGAUACUGCCCGGCUAGAGGUAGGUAGGGGAGAUCGGAAUUCCUGGUGUAGCGGUGAAAUGACGCAGAUAUCAGGAGGAACACCGGUGGCGAAGGCGGUUCUCUGGGCAUUACCUGACGGCUGAGGAGCGAAAGUGUGGGGAGCGAACAGG
rnacentral:rRNA from 1 species